rnacentral:rRNA from 1 species
AUUGAACGCUGGCGGCAGGCCUAACACAUGCAAGUCGAGCGGAGCGGCGGACGGGUGAGUAAUGCCUAGGAAUCUGCCUGGUCGUGGGGGAUAACGUCCGGAAACGGGAGCUAAUACCGCCUACUAUUAGCUGAGCCUAGGUCGGAUUUGCUAGUUGGUGGGGUAAAGGCCUACCAAGGCGUAGAUCCGUAACUGGUCUGAGAGGAUGAUCAUUGAAAAUGGAACUGAGAGCAGGUCCAGACGCCUACGGGAGGCAGCAGUGGGGAAUAUUGGGCAAUGGGCGAAAGUCUGAACCAGCCAUGCCGCGUGUGGGAAGAAGGUCUUCGGAUUGUAAAGCCAUUUAAGUUGGGAGGCGUUACCAACAGAAUAAGCACCGGCUAACUACGUGCCAGCAGCCGCGGUAAUAC